CGCUCGUGGCCCAUUCCCUUUUCGUGCACUGUCGAUCGAAUUCGGCUCUCUCUUUGAUUCCAGGAGCCACUGCGACGAGCUUGUCAUCGCCAUUAGCGCGGGCAAGACGAGACUACGUGAUAGCUGCUGUUCUGAAUCGGUCGUCCCUGGCCACUUCGAUCCACUCACAGCGAUGGGAAACGUUGGGAUUUCUACAAGAAUCGUGCCUUCUUUCAAGGAGCCGAUGCGGAAGACGAUGAGUGAUGACGAGAGAGGAACGGGAAAAGAAGCAAAAAGAGACGCAUAUUUGGACAAAGGACAUGAAUAAGCUGGUUAUGAACUUUCUUCUGACUGGAGGUAUUGCUUGCACCAGGAAGAAAUUCUGGCUCGAAUCUGGAAGUGAACAUAUCCUCAAUUCCUUUUGGUGAUGCAUUUAUUUGUAUCAGUAGUCUUUAUAUAUCACCUGCUCCAUCCUGUUCCUUGCUCUUCCUUAUUGGCAAACAGCACAUACGCAUUUCAAACAGUGGCAGACCACAAGGCUUUGACGGAGACUGCAAUUGAAACAAUCAAUUGGAAGCCACAGGUCUUUUGCAGUGGAGUUUCGAAAAAGGCUUUGAGAGGACAACGACAAUGAUGACAUUCAAAGAUGAAAAGCCAGGCCGUUAUGAAGAGCUUCUGGAUGUUUCCCAGCAUGCAAAGACUGCAAAAGAGAUGGAUGGCCAUUCUCACGAGUGAGGGCCAUGAAAAAGCUUGCUUAGGAUGCUGAUAUGGGUCCAGAAGCAGCUUGAUGAGAAGGUUGCUUAUCCACACAUCAUCAAUUUGCAGAUAGCCUCGCUUGAAGAGUCGGCCAUCUAACCCUAUGAAAGUCAUACGUGUUGAAUCCAAGCCAGUGAAAUGACGUUCUUUUCAAGCAAAUGCAUCGGUAAUUUUCUAAACUUUGGUUCCAUAGAGCAUAUGGAUGCUAGUGUUUUCUUCUCCAGUAUAGCUGUUUCUGGCUCCUUGUGAUCCUUCAUAUGCAGCAAAUAAUUAACCUAGUUUGUGGAUAUCCUGAUGUUUUGACACCCCACCUAAAUAUCUGCAAGAUUUUUCUGCACUUGGUACCAGAUUGUUAUUGGUUGAAGGGCAUUGUUAUUUUAAAUGUGUUUAAUCCUUUUUCUUGCCCAUCUUCUGCAGUUUUUUUUGUCUGAAAACAAACUGUAUAACAUUCCUGAGAUAGUUGAGAAAGAUUUAUCCUUUUUAUUAUAUAAAUGGAAUGUGGCAUAUGAGGCUUUGCUUUUCACUGGAAGUUAAGUUUCAACUGAAAUGCCUCAGAGACCAAAUUUGCAUCGUUUUUUCAUGACAAUAAAAUGUUAAUACAAUAAAAUAUAGAAAACAAUUUCCAAGUAUGGAAAUAUCUCAAGACAUUGUCCAAGUGCCUUCCUGCAUUGUGCUAAGGAGAGAAAGGAAACCAAUUCUGCCUACAUACUCUGCAGCAAACAAGAAAAAGAAAAAGGGGAAACAAUGAAAAAGAGUUGCAUGUUCUGGAUGCAUCCUGGUGGUUAAUAUUUAACUCCACCAAGUACCUCUUUAAUCCUUCUGAUGAUAUAACAGCUACGGCACAUCAAGUUGUGACAUAUGUCCUAUCACAAUGAGCCAAAUCAAGUCUUUAAAACAUAAUACGACCAAAGAUGCAAUUUCUUGCUUAAUAAUGAUAAUAAUUUGAAAAAAAAGAGAAUAUAACAAAGGGAAAUCCUAAAUUACAACAAAGAAACUGAACCCAGAAGUGGAACCUCUAUCACUUUUCAUUUGAUAUUUGUUCUCAAAAUUUUCUCUUGCUUAAUGCAUGAUUUUCUGCAACUUGACUCUCCUCUUGCUUCCUUUCUUCAUAGCUUUCUUGAUUUCUGCAUUCAUCUUCCAGAAAAGGCUUCUAAAAUGCUUCUUACUGCAGUUAUUCGCCCAUUUCAAUGUCCUGCCCAGCUCAUCUCUGUUGUUUUAGCACAAAGUUAGCUGCUUAGGAUUCUGGCUGGAACUCUGAACUCAAAGAUCUUGCCAACAAAACUCUCCUUUUCUACCUACCAACGAAGGCCUUAAAACUUUUUUUGGCUCUUGGGACUCCAUUACUUCCUAUUCCUGUUAUUGAUCUUCCGAACUUGGUCAACAGCUUGUAUAGUUUCUGGCCCCACUACUUGAAUAAGCUGUGGGGAGAUAAAAAGGAAAAAUAAAGGACCAGAAAAUUGAAGAUCUCUGAUGGUGAUGAUGUAUAAUUUCUGACUCUUUGAAUUGACUGCGAAGACACAAUUAUGCUUUCAAUCAUCAAAUGUUCCUGCAAAUUAUUCCAUCAGUUUCUCUGCUGCCUUGAAUUUUCAGAUAGCCUAAAUAAAAGAUAAGCCUUGUCCGACCGUCUGGAGCUUUUACCAAACAAAUUCAGAAACAUAGAUAUUCAAUCUUUAGCUUACCGAACAUAUUCAGAAUAACAGAAUAAUUCAAAUUCAGAAUAACAGAUUUUCAGAAUAGCAGAUAUUCAAUCUUGAGCUUAUCUCAAAAACAGAUGUUCAAACACUUGCAGCUCUCCAUCCAGCUUCAUUGGUGUUUUGUCUCGGAUAUCUUGUGCUCGAGGUUCCUAAUCUAACAUUGUUGCAUCCACCUACCAGGAUCAGGACCCCAACAUGCCAUUGUUCCUGCUGGUUCUUGCUGAUCAAUUUGAGAAAGGAGUUGCAGCAGUCAUCUGGUAACUUUCAAGAAGCUUUGCUGCAUUCGCCCUUGCUUCCAUAGAAUGCAGUUAUUGAUGCAUGGAGCCAGAAGGAAACACAAAUAUGGUAAAGCAGUAGCUUCUCAAAUGGUGGUUUUCUUCCUGGACCUUUAUCCGUAAUUCCCGAUUUUGCCGAAGGUCUUGACUCUUGCUAAUGUUUAUACCAUUCACGUGGGUAAGUAACACCUCGAUCACCUUCAAGGCGGCUGCUCUUUAACCUUUUUCUAUCCAAUGUAUGCCGCCAGAUGAUGACUUCAUUCCAGUCCAAUUAUUUUGCUGCUACUUCAGGCAAUAGCUCCCUCGAUACUACACCCGUGACUGAAUCAGGUACAAGCAGUUUUAUAGUUCUUUGGAUCGGCAAGGGAGGAGAAAGGGCAAAAAACUGAUGAAAGAUGGUCGGCACAGGUACUUCACAGGCUCAGUUUUUAUCUUUAAAAAAUAGAGAAACAAAAAAUAAAGGAAAGAAAAUAGAUUGAUCACAAUCGAUACAAAUCCCAAAGAAGCCAUGAAGUGGAACAUUGGAUUUACAAUCAUCUAACUAUUUUCAACAAUGGAGUAGGAAACUUUUUAACUGUUUGUAGGCUGGAAAAUGAGGUCAUAGAGGUAUGCUGCGAUGAGCAGAGAGUAAAACGAGGGUGCAGGUUUGCCCUAUCUCAAGUGAUUUGAAGCGUGACAAGAUGCAAUAUAUGUGCAAAAAUUGUCAUCCGAGUGACACCAAGGCUUCUCUUCUUCCAUUGCCAUUAGAAGAAAGAUUUGAUGGAUGAGUUGGGGUUUUAUAAUUGUAGCUUGUAAGUUAAACCGAUUGUUCUGGGUCAUUUGUUUGUCUAAUAAUAGAAACAACACUUAUUGGAUAUGUGAUUGAUCUUGUUAACUCCCUUCAAA